rnacentral:rRNA from 1 species
GACGAACGCUGGCGGCGUGCCUAAUACAUGCAAGUUGAGCGAUGAAGCUUGGUGCUUGCACCAAUUUGAAGAGCAGCGCACGGGUGAGUAACGCGUGGGGAAUCUGCCUUUGAGCGGGGGACAACAUUUGGAAACGAAUGCUAAUACCGCAUAACAACUUUAAACAUAAGUUUUAAGUUUGAAAGAUGCAAUUGCAUCACUCAAAGAUGAUCCCGCGUUGUAUUAGCUAGUUGGUGAGGUAAAGGCUCACCAAGGCGAUGAUACAUAGCCGACCUGAGAGGAUGAGUGGCCACAUUGGGACGGAGACACGGCCCAAACGCCUACGGGAGGCAGCAGUAGGUAUACUGCGGCAAUGGACGAAAGACUGACCGAGCAACGCCGAGGGAGGGAAGAAGGAUGUCGGAUCGGAAAACUCGGUUGGUAGAGAAGAACGUUGGUGAGAGUGGAAAGCUCAUCAAGUGACGGUAACUACUCAGAAAGGGACGGCUAACUACGUG